rnacentral:lncRNA from 1 species
CUUGUCUACCUAAAUUCUAUGUUGGCCCUCUCAACCAAAUUGACACUUGCUGCCUAAAGGAACGUCAGAUAUCAUAACAUGAGUUUAAUUUGCCAAAAUGAUUGUAGAAACUUGCAACUUUACAAAUUAUAUCAUCAACCCUACAUAAAAAUCGGGGACAAUCCUAUCAACAACUAGUAUUUUUACAGUGACAAAGCUAUCCUUU